UAGAAAUCCAGGUUUCCAAUCUCUUGCCUCC
rnacentral:piRNA from 1 species